rnacentral:ncRNA from 2 species
AAUAGUCUUUGGGGCAAGGUGCGAAAGUUCGCUUUCAAUUCCUGACCGGCGGUGACAGUCCGCUACCCUCGCGGAGAGGUUGAACCGAUGGAAUUUCGGUACCGACAGUAUAGUCUGGAUGGGAAAAGACACGG